CUACGGGUGGCACCAGUCGAGAAGCUUCGGCAAUGGACGAAAGUCUGACCGAGCGACGCCGCGUGAGUGAAGAAGGUCUUCGGAUCGUAAAACUCUGUCAGGGGGGAAGAAACACGGAUUGGCUAAUACCCUUUCCGCUUGACGGUACCCCCAGAGGAAGCUCCGGCUAACUCCGUGCCAGCAGCCGCGGUAAUACGGAGGGAGCAAACGUUGUUCGGAAUCACUGGGCGUAAAGGGCUCGUAGGCGGCUUCCUAAGUCAGUGGUGAAAACCUGUGGCUCAACCACAGGCCUGCCCCUGAAACUGGGAAGCUUGAGGCUGUGAGGGGAGAGGGGAAUUCCUGGUGUAUCGGUGAAAUGAGUUGAUAUCAGGAGGAACACCCGUGGCGAAGGCGCCUCUCUGGCACAGUACUGACGCUGAGGAGCGAAAGCGUGGGGAGCAAACAGGAUUAGAUACCCUCGUAGUC
rnacentral:rRNA from 1 species